AUUGAACGCUGGCGGCAGGCAUAACACAUGCAAGUCGAGCGAGCGGCGGACGGGUGAGUAAUGUAUGGGGAUCUGACCGAUAGAGGGGGAUAACUACUGGAAAAGGUGGCUAAUACCGCAUACUCUCGGAUGAACCCAUAAGGGAUUAGCUAGUAGGUGGGGUAAAGGCGCACUUAGGCGACGAUCUCUAGCUGGUCUGAGAGGAUGAUCAUCCAAAAUUGGACUGAGACACGGCCCAGACUCCUACGGGAGGCAGCAUGGGGGAAUAUUGCACAAUGUGCGCAAGCCUGAUGCAGCCAUGCCGCGUGUAUGCAGAAGGCCUUAGGGUUGUAAAGUACUUUCAGCGGAGAGGCAUUACCCGCAGAAGAAGCCCCGGCUAACUCCGUGCCAGCAGCGGCGGUAAUAC
rnacentral:rRNA from 1 species